rnacentral:rRNA from 1 species
GGUGUGCGUAAUACAUGCCAGUGCGAGCCGAAUGGAUUAAGANCUUGCUCUUAUGAAGUUAGCGGCGGACGGGUGAGUAACACGUGGGUNACCUGCCCAUAACACUGGGAUAACUCCGGGAAACCGGGGCUAAUACCGGAUAACAUUUUGAACCGCAUGGUUCGAAAUUGAAAGGCGGCUUCGGCUGUCACUUAUGGAUGGACCCCCGUCNCAUUANCUAGUUGGUGAGGUAACGGCUCACCAAGGCAACGAUGCGUANCCGACCUGAGAGGGUGAUCGGCCACACUGGGACUGACACACGGCCCAGACUCCUACGGGAGGCAGCAAUAGGGAAUCUUCCGCAAUGGACGAAAGUCUGACGGAGCAACGCCGCGUGAGUGAUGAAGGCUUUCAGGUCGUAAAACUCUGUUGUUAGGGAAGAACAAGUGCUAGUUGAAUAAGCUGGCGCCUUGACCGUACCUAACCAGAAAGCCACUGCUAACUACGUGCCAGCAGCCGCGGUAAUACGUAGGUGGCAAGCGUUAUCCGGAAUUAUUGGGCGUAAAGCGCGCGCAGGUGGUUUCUUAAUCUGAUGU